CACACGAAAACAAAGGUAUUGUUUGCGUCACAAAGCAUGGUAUGCUUCUGAAGAGUAUCUGUGAUUGUUGCAAAAGUGAGUUUUGUACCACGAGGAUACAAGGCUAAACACGAAGAUCCAUCCACAACAAGGUAGCGGUUUUUUAAGAGUUCCUCUACAGAACAUGCUUGUUGAAGUGUUUCAAGAAUUAAUGAUUUCAUCGCGGUACCAUCGACUAAGAAAAGCAUACAAAAUAAAAAUUCAACAUUACGCGAUAUACGUUCGAAAAGCCGAAUCUAAAGGACUUGACCGUAUAAUGCCGACCCGGCUCCAACGUGUCACCAGAGAAUAUGGUUUGACGGUUUACGAAGAAGCUUGGCUAAACUCUAAGUAAAAUGUUCACUUUACAAAAUAAAAUAUUGCUUAAAGAAAAUCACGAAGGAAGCAAAGUAGCAAUGUACAUUCAUUGUCACGAAGAAAUGUCGUUUAAAGGAAAUGCUCUAAGUAUAUGCAAGAGUAGCUACAUUGUAUACAGUCAAGGAAAAAAAAAUAUUGAAAACUUAAUCUAGGGUUCUAAGUCAAGGCGUGAAAAAUAAGCCAUUCUACAGAUAAACAAGUUAACGAGAACUUACACUAUGACCGACUUAAUGCCGCGUCAUGGCGAAACAAUUACAUCAUUUUGCUAGGAUUGUCCUCGAGAGUAAGGGAGUAACAAUGCAAUUCAGUCGUUAAAUAGAGAUUAACAGUAGCCUUUGUGUCUUUGUUGAAAAGUUUUGGAUAAGAGUGAAGAAUUAAUCGAAAAAGAAAAUGUUAUGGUUGCUUUAGUCUACAAACAUGAAAAGAAGUAUUAGAAGGACUCAUUAGAGUUCAAUAUGAAAUAUUGUUUGAUGCGCAAAUUGAACUUGAUUGAUACCACAGUUGCAAGACG